rnacentral:rRNA from 1 species
AACGAACGCUGGCGGCAGGCCUAACACAUGCAAGUCGAGCGAGGACUUCGGUCCUAGCGGCGGACGGGUGAGUAACGCGUGGGAACGUGCCCUUUGCUUCGGAAUAGCCCUGGGAAACUGGGAGUAAUACCGGAUGAGCCCUUUGGGGGAAAGAUUUAUCGGCGAAGGAUCGGCCCGCGUUGGAUUAGGUAGUUGGUGGGGUCAUGGCCUACCAAGCCGACGAUCCAUAGCUGGUUUGAGAGGAUGAUCAGCCACACUGGGACUGAGACACGGCCCAGACUCCUACGGGAGGCAGCAGUGGGGAAUCUUAGACAAUGGGGGAAACCCUGAUCUAGCCAUGCCGCGUGAGCGAUGAAGGCCUUAGGGUUGUAAAGCUCUUUCAGCUGGGAAGAUAAUGACGGUACCAGCAGAAGAAGCCCCGGCUAACUCCGUG